GACUACAUGAAGCUGGAAUCGCUAGUAAUCGCGAAUCAGAAUGUCGCGGUGAAUACGUUCCCGGGUCUUGUACACACCGCCCGUCACACCAUGGGAGUCGGAAAUGCCCGAAGUCAGUGACCCAACCGUAAGGAGGGAGCUGCCGAAGGUGGAGCCGGUAACUGGGGUGAAGUCGUAACAAGGUACC
rnacentral:rRNA from 1 species